AGGAAAAGAAACUAACCAGGAUUUCCCUAGUAGCGGCGAGCGAACAGGAAAGAGCCCAGCACCGAAUCCCGCGGUUCCGCCGCAGGGAAAUGUGGUGUUUGGGAGGGUCCGCUUAUCCCGAGGCGUCGCGCCGCGUCCAAGUCCAUCUUGAAUGGGGCCACUUACCCGCAGAGGGUGCCAGGCCCGUAGCGACCGGUGCGCGUCUCGGGAGGAUCUCUCCUUAGAGUCGGGUUGCUUGAGAGUGCAGCUCUAAGUGGGUGGUAAACUCCAUCUAAGGCUAAAUACGACCACGAGACCGAUAGCGAACAAGUACCGUGAGGGAAAGUUGAAAAGAACUUUGAAGAGAGAGUUCAAGAGUACGUGAAACCGUUCAGGGGUAAACCUAAGAAACCCAAAAGAUCGAACGGGGAGAUUCAUCGUCAGCGACGCUGGCUUCGCGUCGGUGGGCGAUGUCCCGCGGGGCCUCGCGGCUCGCAGCGCGGACACGCUGCCGUGCGUCGAUGUCCGGCGUUCGUCGUCGUGCACUUCUCCCCUGGUAGAACGUCGCGACCCGCUGGGUGUCGGUCUACGGCCCGGGUGCGGUGACUGACGCGCCGCCGGUAAAACGGCGCGCGUCAAACCCUCGGUCGCCCGGCCGGCUGCCCGGCGGUACACGCAAGGUAUCAGGCCGCAUCUCAAUCACAGAGUGCGUCGAGGCCGUCGCAAGCGCGCGCCACGGUACACGGAGGCUAACGGACCUAGCGCCGUCACCGGUCCUGGCCCGCUGUUGGUCGUACGGUUAACCUUCGACAGGCCUACGAACCGUCCCCCCCCGGGGUUCGUCCUCGAGCGGGGACCGAUACCGGUCGGCGACGCUACUGCUUUGGGUACUCUUAGGACCCGUCUUGAAACACGGACCAAGGAGUCUAACAUGUACGCGAGUCAUUGGGACUAGCGAUACCUAAAGGCGUAAUGAAAGUGAAGGUCGGCCCUGGUUGUCGACCGAGGGAGGAUGGGCCGCGUCUCGACGCGGCUCCGCACUCCCGGGGCGUCUCGUUCUCAUCGCGAGAAGAGGCGCACCCAGAGCGUACACGUUGGGACCCGAAAGAUGGUGAACUAUGCCUGGUCAGGACGAAGUCAGGGGAAACCCUGAUGGAGGUCCGUAGCGAUUCUGACGUGCAAAUCGAUCGUC
rnacentral:rRNA from 1 species